rnacentral:rRNA from 1 species
UACGAAGGGGGCUAGCGUUGUUCGGAAUCACUGGGCGUAAAGGGCGCGUAGGCGGCCGAUCAAGUCGGGGGGUGAAAGCCUGUGGCUCAACCACAGAAUUGCCUUCGAUACUGAGGAUCUUGAGUUCGGGAGAGGUGAGUGGAACUGCGAGUGUAGAGGUGAAAUUCGUAGAUAUUCGCAAGAACACCAGUGGCGAAGGCGGCUCACUGGCCCGAUACUGACGCUGAGGCACGAAAGCGUGGGGGAGCAAACAGG